UGCCCUCAAGGAGCUCACAGUCGAAUGGGGGAGACAACAUGC
rnacentral:miRNA from 1 species